rnacentral:rRNA from 1 species
UACGUAGGUGGCAAGCGUUGUCCGGAAUUACUGGGCGUAAAGCGCGUGCAGGCGGUCGUCUAAGUCUGAUGUGAAAUCUCCUCGCUCAACGGGGAGCAGCCAUUGGAAACUAGGCGACUGGAGUCUGACAGAGGUAGGCGGAAUUCCGGGUGGAGUGGUGAAAUGCGUAGAGAUCCGGAGGAACACCAGUGGCGAAGGCGGCUCACUGGCCCGAUACUGACGCUGAGGUGCGAAAGCGUGGGGAGCAAACAGG